GGAAUUUAUAAGAGAUAAAUAAUAAAAUAAAGCAUCAUCAUCUAAAUGAGAGAUAAAGGAAUACGGAAUACCGUCCAGUCCAGGAGCAGAAUCCUUAACAUGAGACAAUACACCUUUUAGUUCAGUGAGAGAAAAUAUACUGUUUAAACCAAAACAGUUAUCAUUAUUUAUAUUUAUUACAGGGUAACCAAUUAUUAAGUCUUCAGGAACGAAAGGUGGAGCCAAUUUAUCUAAAAAGCUAUUAACUAAAUGAAAAGGGAUUGAUUUUGGAGAUGAAUCUUUGUAUGCAGAUCUAAACCUUCUUAUAUUUUGCCAUACAAGAGAUGGUUUGACAUCAGCAUAUUUUCUUCUCUUUACUGCCUCAGUACAUUCGUUAUCCCACCAAGGAGGAGAAGGAAUAAAACCCAAAGAGCUAUUUUUACUUGGAAAUAUCUCAUUGGCAACCUCAAUAAAGAUUCUUGCUAAAGAAUCUGCACACUGAGAUUCUGUACCUGGAUUAAUUUUUGGAAGUGUUGGAAAUGAUAAUAAUAGUGGGAAGUGAUCACUACCAAAAGUAGAUCGUAAUGGAUCCCAGGACAAAGAAGAAGCAAGAUUAGGUGUAGUGACUGUUAAAUCUGGAGCACUUGGGCCCUCGUCAGGAUGAGAACGUCGUGUAGGACGACCAUCAUUUAAUAUACACAAAUUCACUGAAUCAAAUAUAUCUAUUAAUGUGUUACCAUAACUAUUAGAAGAUAAGUAACCCCAGGAUUCAUGGCGACAGUUAAAAUCACCAAGGAUCAUAAAAGGCUUCGGAAGAAUGGAAAUAAUAUCUUUAAUUUCAUUUAAGAUUGCAGAAGAAGGAUGAGGUAUAUAAAUAGAUACAUAACAGAUAUUUUCAACUAAAGCAGCAAUAAUAGAAAAAUCAUUACUGUGAGAAGGAAUAGAGAAGAGAGAAAAGGAAAGAGGGUGUUUCACAAGCAUGGCUACUCCGCCAUGCCCAUCCACACGAUCUUCUCUGAGACAUGAAUAACCACGAAUCUUAAACAAAGAUCCUGGUUUCAACCAUGUCUCUUGAAGAGCACAGAUAUAAGGUUUAUAUUUAUUUAAUAAAUAAAUAAGAUCACUUUUUUUAGGAGUGAUGCUUUGACAAUUCCAUUGAAGAACUUUGUCCAUUAUUUGGUUUAUAAAUUUGAGUAAUUGCAGAAACUAAUAAGGCAGCGUUGGACGGUGAAAAUUCAUUCGAUUGACUAAGAGAUUUUAUAAGAGAAAUAAUUAGAUCAAUAA